GGGAGUAAUGUCUGGGAAACGGCCUGAUGGAGGGGGAUAACUACUGGAAACGGUAGCUAAUACCGCAUAACGUCGCAAGACCAAAGUGGGGGACCGUUCGGGCCUCAUGCCAUCAGAUGUGCCCAGAUGGGAUUAGCUAGUAGGUGGGGUAACGGCUCACCUAGGCGACGAUCCCUAGCUGGUCUGAGAGGAUGACCAGCCACACUGGAACUGAGACACGGUCCAG
rnacentral:rRNA from 1 species